UUCGCAAUGCCCGAAAGGGUGACGAAGCGACGCCGCGUGGGUGAGGAAGGCCUUCGGGUUGUAAAGCCCUGUCAGGAGUUAAGAAAUGUAAGUGCGCUAAUAUCGCAUUUAUUUGACGAAGGCUCCAAAGGAAGUCACGGCUAACUCUGUGCCAGCUGCCGCGGUAAUACAGAGGUGGCAAGCGUUGUUCGGAAUUAUUGGGCGUAAAGAGCACGUAGGUGGGUUUGUAAGUCAGAUGUGAAAGCCUUCUGUUCAACGGAAGAAUUGCAUCUGAAACUGCGAGUCUUGAGUGUAGGAGGGGAGAAUGGAACUUCUGGUGGAGCGGUGAAAUGCGUAGAUAUCAGAAGGAACGCCGGCGGCGAAAGCGAUUCUCUGGCCUAUUACUGACACUCAGUGUGCGAAAGCUAGGGGAGCAAACGGGAUUAGAUACCCCGGUAGUCCUAGCCGUAAACGAUGGGCACUAAGUAGAGGGGUUUU
rnacentral:rRNA from 1 species